rnacentral:pre_miRNA from 1 species
UAUAACGUUUGACUCCUCGUCUUAUUUAAAAAUUUUCUAUGAUUAAUAGUUUUAUUGUUAUUACAUGAUAAAACAUAAAUAGUACUUUAUGCGUCAUAGUUUAUUUAAAUAAGACGGACAAUCAAACGGUGUACAC